UACUGGAGAAUUUUUGGCUUUGCUGAUAUAGCUUUUGUGCAAACUACCUUUUUUGGGUCAAAGAACAGGGAUGUCACACCACAUCUAUUUAAAACACAACCACUGUUCAUCAGUCAACUGAUGCUUGGCAGAUGAAAUAUUCCAUUCAUUAAUAGUAGGAAAAAACUGAGAUGGGUCACUUUGGAACACAGUGACGUCGGAUAACUUAGCCAGAACUUAUUGAUGACUGCAUGUUCAAUGGACUCAAGAAGGUAAUGGGAGAUGCAAGAAUGUACUCUUUUGAAGGAACAGAAGAGGAGGCAUUUCAAAGAUCCUGCAGGUGACUGAGGUAAUGAUCUGCUGCCAGAAUAAAUAAAUCUUAGAAAGUGCCAGCACAGCUCAACCAUUUGCUGUGAUCACUCCCACAUAAGAAACCUCUAUCAUCAUUGUCUGUCUUCAGGUGUCUUCUCUAGUGUGGUAAGUUUUCAAAUGUAUGAUCUCCUUCUGUGUCAGGAGAUUUAGAAAGUAGGAGCGAGGCAAGAACUGAAAGGUCUAGCUCCACUCCUAGAUUUUACUGGCAGAACUGGAAGCUCUAGUCAAUAAAGCUAGUCAUAGGCAUGUUAAACGCAUGUAAGGUUCGGUAAGGCUGUGGAGUGUAGUAAACACCACAGAACUAAAUUACAGUUGUAACUGAACUGUAGUUCGUAUUUCCUUCAUUCCUAUGAAGCGGACAACAUUUAGAGUUUAAAAUUUCUCUACUUGUUGUAUUAUCUGAAAUUAAUUUUUUAUAUACUUGCAACUGUAGUUGCAACUUAGUUCUUUCAAAAUGAUGUCAGUCUCUAAAUCAUUAUCUGGUACUAAAAACAACUAACAGAAAUCCAUGUAUAGCUCCUACAGCUCACCUUUGGAAUGAAGACCUAAUUACUUCUUACUGAUUUUGAUCCAAAGUUCAUUGAAGCAAUUUGGAAUCUUUCCAUUAAAGUUAUUUGGAUUUAGAUCAAAGUUCUUUUCCAAACACUGGUUUAGCAACACAGAGUAGCAGGCAGUCACCCUGUCAUCCACCAGCAUUGCCCACAGACUGUGUAUGUUUUGUGUAUUUGGUAUUCUAUUUGACAUUGUUUCUGGAAAAGAUGUCGCCUAAGCUGAUGAUGUCCCUGUGGUCAUGUAGAGCAUAUGGAACAAACUUUCUGCCCUGAAUACCUAUUUAUUUGGCAGUCACCAAAGUCUGCAGGUUCCACUCAUUCCAGCUUCAUUGUUGGAGUUUUCAUGGGAAGUGUCAACAUUAACAAGAUUUUAAACUGCAGGUAAAUAUAGAACAUCAUUUGAUUCUGGCAAAGAACUGUUUGCCUCAGCACUUGUGAGAUAAUGUAGAGUAACCAGCAAAUCAUUGAUGAAUCUGUAAUACACCACCAUUCCCUGGAGUGCUGAGGCAAAAUUGUGGUGAAGAAGAAGGAAAGACACCAAAAGUGAUUAAAUACAGUGAUAGA